rnacentral:rRNA from 1 species
UGAGGAAUAUUGGUCAAUGGGCGCUAGCCUGAACCAGCCAAGUAGCGUGCAGGACGACGGCCCUAUGGGUUGUAAACUGCUUUUAUGCGGGGAUAAAGUCACCCACGUGUGGGUGUUUGCAGGUACCGCAUGAAUAAGGACCGGCUAAUUCCGUGCCAGCAGCCGCGGUAAUACGGAAGGUCCGGGCGUUAUCCGGAUUUAUUGGGUUUAAAGGGAGUGUAGGCGGCCUGUUAAGCGUGUUGUGAAAUGUAGAUGCUCAACAUCUGAACUGCAGCGCGAACUGGCUGGCUUGAGUACACGCAACGUGGGCGGAAUUCAUGGUGUAGCGGUGAAAUGCUUAGAUAUCAUGAGGAACUCCUAUUGCGAAGGCAGCUCACGGGAGUGUCACUGACGCUUAAGCUCGAAGGUGCGGGUAUCAAACAGG